rnacentral:rRNA from 1 species
UACGUAGGGUGCAAGCGCUGUCCGGAAUUAUUGGGCGUAAAGAGCUCGUAGGCGGCUUGUCGCGUCGACUGUGAAAACCCGUGGCUCAACCAUGUGGUCUGCAGUCGAUACGGGCAGACUAGAGUUCGGUAGGGGAGACUGGAAUUCCUGGUGUAGCGGUGAAAUGCGCAGAUAUCAGGAGGAACACCGGUGGCGAAGGCGGGUCUCUGGGCCGAAACUGACGCUGAGGAGCGAAAGCGUGGGGAGCAAACAGG